GUCCACGCCCUAAACGAUGCCUGUUUGCUGUUUCGAGUAUCGACCCUCGGAGUGGCGUAGCUAACGCGUUAAACAGGCCGCCUGGGAAGUACGAUCGCAAGAUUAAAACUCAAAGGAAUAGACGGGGACUCGCACAAGCGGUGGAACAUGAGGUUUAAUUCGAUAGUAAGCGAGGAACCUUACCAAGGUUUGAAAUGUACGUUGACGGUUCGCGGAAAACGUGGACCUUCUCACAAGGACAGCGUACGCAGGUGCUGCAUGGUUGUCGU
rnacentral:rRNA from 1 species